rnacentral:rRNA from 1 species
UACGUAGGGGGCGAGCGUUGUCCGGAAUCAUUGGGCGUAAAGCGCGUGUAGGCGGCCCGGUAAGUCCGCUGUGAAAGUCCAGGGCUCAACCCUGGGAUGCCGGUGGAUACUGUCGGGCUCGAGUCCGGAAGAGGCGAGUGGAAUUCCUGGUGUAGCGGCGAAAUGCGCAGAUAUCAGGAGGAACACCAAUGGCGAAGGCAGCUCGCUGGGACGUGACUGACGCUGAGACGCGAAAGCGUGGGGAGCAAACAGG